UACGUAGGGGGCAAGCGUUAUCCGGAUUUACUGGGUGUAAAGGGAGCGUAGGUGGUCAGAUAAGUCAGAUGUGAAAGCCCGGGGCUCAACCCCGGGACUGCAUCUGAUACUAUCUGGCUUGAGUGCAGGAGAGGUAAGUGGAAUUCCUAGUGUAGCGGUGAAAUGCGUAGAUAUUAGGAGGAACACCAGUGGCGAAGGCGGCUUACUGGACUGUAACUGACACUGAGGCUCGAAAGCGUGGGGAGCAAACAGG
rnacentral:rRNA from 1 species